AUACGGAGGAUCCGAGCGUUAUCCGGAUUUAUUGGGUUUAAAGGGUGCGCAGGCGGCCAUUUAAGUCAGCGGUUAAAUCGUGGGGCUCAACCCCAUUCUGCCGUUGAUACUGGGUGGCUUGAUUGCGGUAGAGGUUGGCGGAAUUAGUUGUGGAGCGGUGAAAUGCAUAGAUAUGACGAAGAACACCGAUUGCGUAGGCAGCUGACCAGACCGCAAAUGACGCUCAUGCACGAAAGUGCGGGGAUCGAACAGGAUUAGAUACCCUGGUAGUCCGCACAUUAAACGAUGAAUACUUGUUUUCGGCGAUAUAAUGUCGGAGGCAAAGCGAAAGCGAUAAGUAUUCCACCUGGGGAGUACGCCGGCAACGGUGAAACUUAAAGGAAUUGACGGGG
rnacentral:rRNA from 1 species